rnacentral:rRNA from 1 species
AGUGAACGCUGGCGGUAGGCCUAACACAUGCAAGUCGAACGGCAGCACAGUAAGAGCUUGCUCUUACGGGUGGCGAGUGGCGGACGGGUGAGGUAUACAUCGGAAUCUACUUUUUCGUGGGGGAUAACGUAGGGAAACUUACGCUAAUACCGCAUACGACCUACGGGUGAAAGCAUGGGAUCUUUGGACCUUGCGCGAUUGAAUGAGCCGAUGCCGGAUUAGCUAGUUGGCGGGGUAAAGGCCCACCAAGGCGACGAUCCGUAGCUGGUCUGAGAGGAUGAUCAGCCACACUGGAACUGAGACACGGUCCAGACUCCUACGGGAGGCACCAGUGGGGAAUAUUGGACAAUGGGCGCAAGCCUGAUCCAGCCAUACCGCGUGGGUGAAGAAGGCCUUCGGGUUGUAAAGCCCUUUUGUUGGGAAAGAAAAGCAGCAGGUUAAUCCCCCGCUGUUCUGACGGUACCCAAAGAAUAAGCACCGGCUAACUUCGUG